rnacentral:rRNA from 1 species
UACGUAGGGUGCAAGCGUUAUCCGGAAUCACUGGGCGUAAAGCGUGCGUAGGCGGGUCUUUAAGUGAGAUGUUAAAUCGUGUGGCUCAACCAUAUCGAUGCAUCUCAUACUGGAUACCUAGAGGAAAGCAGAGGCAAGUGGAAUUGGUAGUGUAGCAGUGAAAUGCGUAGAUAUUACCAGGAACACCAAUGGCGAAGGCAGCUUGCUGGGCUUUUUCUGACGCUGAGGUACGAAAGCGUGGGGAGCGAACAGG